rnacentral:rRNA from 1 species
AAGUAAAAGUCGUAACAAGGUUUCCGUAGGUGAACCUGCGGAAGGAUCAUUAAUGAAGUGAAAUUGUCUUACCUUCGGUGCUGGCUCUUCUUACUUGUAAAAGAGGAUGAGAGCAUGUGCACGUUGGAGGGCAUAUAUCCAAUCCCCACUUGUGAACCCUUGCCUUUGCUGGCUUCGGCUGGUAGAGGAUUUUACACAAACACGAAUGUAAUGAAAUAAUGUUGUGCUGAGCACUUAUAAUACAACUUUCAACAACGGAUCUCUUGGCUCUCGCAUCGAUGAAGAACGCAGCGAAAUGCGAUAAGUAAUGUGAAUUGCAGAAUUCAGUGAAUCAUCGAAUCUUUGAACGCACCUUGCACCCUUUGGUAUUCCAAAGGGUAUGCUCGNUUGAGUGUCAUUAUACUCUCACACUCUCUGAUUAGUGAUUAGAGAGCGGUGGACUUGGAUGUUGUCUGGUACUUGCUGUCAGGCUCAUCUUAAAUGACUUAGUACAACUCCUAGUUAAACAUAGUACGGCGUUAUAACUAAACCCCCGCUGUUUUUUUUGUCUGAUUAGGAGCUCUGUUGCUUCGAACCGUCUUCGGACAAUUCUGAUAACUUGACCUCAAAUCGAGUAGGAUUACCCGCUGAACUUAAGCAUNUC